rnacentral:piRNA from 1 species
UGUCUUUGAAACACACAGGACUUACAUGAC